rnacentral:rRNA from 1 species
CAGCUCGUGUCGUGAGAUGUUGGGUUAAGUCCCGCAACGAGCGCAACCCUCGACCUUAGUUGCCAGCAUUCAGUUGGGCACUCUAAGGUGACUGCCGGCUAAAAGUCGGAGGAAGGUGGGGGAUGACGUCAAAUCAUCAUGCCCCUUAUGACCUGGGCUACACACGUGCUACAAUGGGCGGUACAAAGGGUCGCGAACCCGCGAGGGGGAGCCAAUCCCAAAAAGCCGCUCUCAGUUCGGAUUGCAGGCUGCAACUCGCCUGCAUGAAGCCGGAAUCGCUAGUAAUCGCGGAUCAGCAUGCCGCGGUGAAUACGUUCCCGGGCCUU